rnacentral:lncRNA from 1 species
UAUUUGCUUGCUAAUGUUUGUAUUUUGCUUCUAUAAAUAAAUCUUAAAUGUUUUGCUGAUUUUUUUCUUUUAAAAUUUUAAAUGUUGUUUGAUUAUUAUUUUUUUCUUUUUCAGAUUGAUUAGAAGAAGAAUAUAAAAGGCAAAAAAGGUAUCUUGUCAUUUAUUUAAUUUUAAGAUUUUAAAUCUAGGUUCUCAAAAUAACUUUGAUUUUAGAAAUGUCCAUACUCAAUAAUUCAUUCUCUGCACACUUGGAUCUCCUUUCUGUAUUUUUUUACAUAUUUGGGUAUUAUGUCGCUGAUUUGCUUGUAUUUUUUUUUCAUAUUUGGGGUUUUCAUUUUUAUUAGCAUCAUGUUGUUGUUGCUGAUUUGCUUGCUGAAUUCCUUAGCAUUUCAUUUAGCAUUAUGUUUGAUUAUAUAUAAAUCUUAAAUGUUUGUUGCUGAUUUAUUUGCUUGCUAAUGUUUGUAUUUUGCUUCUAUAUAUAAAUCUUAAAUGUUUUGCUGAUUUUUUUUUUUAAAUUUUAAAUGUUGUCUGAUUAUUUUUUUUUUUUUUUCCAGAUUGAUUAGAAGAAGAAUAUAAAAGGCAAAGAAGGUAUCUUGUCAUUUAUUUAAUUUUAAGAUUUUAAAUCUAGGUUCUCAAAAUAACUUUGAUUUUAGAAAUGUCCAUACUCAAUAAUUCAUUCUCUGCACACUUGGAUCUCCUUUAUGUAUUUUUUUACAUAUUUGGGCAUUAUGUUGCUGAUUUGCUUGUAUUUUUUUUUCAUAUUUGGGGUUUUCAUUUUUAUUAGCAUUAUGUUGUUGUUGCUGAUUUGCUUGCUGAAUUCCAUAGCAUUUCAUUUAGUAUUAUGUUUGAUUAUAUAUAAAUCUUAAAUGGAUUUCAUAUAUUGGAUUUCAUAUAUUGGAUAUCAUAUAUUUUCUUUGUGAGUAAUUUUUUUAUUUUAAUUAUUUUUCUGUUUUUAUUAUUUUUAAGUGUUGAAUAUUUUGUUGUAUUCACAUAUUAUAAAUGACACCCAAAAAAACAUCGGCUAGUAAGAAACGACGAUUUACUCGAAGUUUUGUCGACAAUGAAGAACCUACUUCAAGUACUCAUAUUCCGACUCCAACUUUAACUCCAACUCUAACUCCAACUCCUCAAGAUAGGAAUACUCCUCAAGUUCCGACUCCAACAUUUGUUCAGCUCCUUAUGAAUUCUCUUUCAAUUUUAGAUAUUAGAUCAUGAAUUAAUGUUGUGUUAGGGACAAGAUGUUAUAUUUGUUGAAUAUUAGAUUAUUUUAAUCAUUAAUGUUAAAUGAAUUUAGUGAAUAAUAUUGAAUGUAAAUUAUGAAUGUUAUAUGAUUUUUACAGGAA